rnacentral:tRNA from 1 species
GGAAUGUAGCUCAGCUGGUAGAGUGCCUGCCUUGCAUGCCCAGGGCCCUGGGUUCAAUCCCCAGUACCA